rnacentral:rRNA from 1 species
UCCUGGCUCAGAUUGAACGCUGGCGGCAUGCUUUACACAUGCAAGUCGAACGGCAGCACGGGUGCUUGCACCUGGUGGCGAGUGGCGGACGGGUGAGUAAUACAUCGGAACGUAUCCUAAAGUGGGGGAUAACGCAUCGAAAGAUGUGCUAAUACCGCAUAUACUCUAAGGAGGAAAGUAGGGGAUCGAAAGACCUUAUGCUUUUGGAGCGGCCGAUGUCUGAUUAGCUAGUUGGUAAGGUAAUGGCUUACCAAGGCAACGAUCAGUAGUUGGUCUGAGAGGACGACCAGCCACACUGGGACUGAGACACGGCCCAGACUCCUACGGGAGGCAGCAGUGGGGAAUUUUGGAUAAUGGGCGCAAGCCUGAUCCAGCAAUGCCGCGUGAGUGAAGAAGGCCUCGGUGUAAGCUCUUCUAGUUGUAGAAG